GGCGCCCCAAGAGAGGCGUUUUUAUUUUUGUUUGUUUCUUUAAGAUAAAAGAAAUAACAGGAUGUCAGUAUGCCGAUGGGAUGAUCUGGUAGAGAGGAAAAGUGGAUGCAGGAGAGACAGAAACAUUUUGGAUUGAUGUUCUUUGGUAGGUGAGAGGUAAGGGAUCUAGGGGCCAGGGCAUGGUGGAGGGGUUGGCCUUGAUAGGGGCAUUUCACUCCCAGGGGAGGAGAUCGAGUGCGUGGGCAGAGACCAAGGCGGGUGAGACGUGCUCGUCAGAGCCCGUGGAUGUUCUCGUCUGGGUAUUGAGGUGUUGUAAUCAGCACAUGCGAGGAUAAGACCCCACUCAUGUCCCUGUAUCUUUGCGAGAAAGUGCCAAGUACAGCCACAGAACUGCUAGAAACUUGAAUGCCUUUAAGGACCCUGUGGUCCGCUUACCAUAUUCAUCUAUCCUUUAAAGCCGGCCCUGGCUUUGAAGCAAAGGUUGCCUUGGUGGUGGUCAUUGGACCAAGCAUUCCAUGUGUUCUCCAAGGUUCCAUGCAGCAGGUGGCAGCCAGCAGCCCCAGUAUGCAGGUGGAGCGCAGCCUGUGCUGUCUUCUGUUAUUUGCUGACGGGCCUCCUUGCUUGAACACACGUCUCGUUAAUGUGGGAUUAUUCCUUUCCGAAUUAGGGCUGGAAGCCCAUGGCUUUACCUAAAGCAGAAGAACUUGUUAUUUUACACUUCUGUUUGGGACUCAGUUAAUUUAGUCUGAGAUAGGGUGAUUGGGUCUUGGACUCAGAUGAGGUUCACCUGAUGAACAGGAGGCAUCUUCUAAGCACCAAGUAGCUAACAGGCCUGCAGAUGUGUGAUGGGUCACCGCAGGCGGUGACUUAGGUGAGGUUGUGGAACGCCAGGAACGCGGGAGCUGCCGUAGGACUCCAGGAUACCGAGAGGCCAAGCCAGAUGGCAGAGAAUAGCAAGAGCUGACCCUCAGAGUCACGCUGGCCCGGCCUCCAGUCGAGACGGCGCUGCUUUCCAGAUAAUGUGACCUGGGUCACAUUCCCUAACAUCUGAGUCUGUUUCCUCACAAGUACAAGCAGGAAUAGGAAAAGCUAUCUCAGCAACGUACAUCGGGUGCCUGGCUGGCGGCUCCCUCCCCCAGCCGCCCACCAUUUUAGGCUGUACCACCACCUGCUCCUCUAUUAAAAGUGAAGAAAUAAAUACAAAGGCCUCAAGAAAAGGAUCCUAGCAACAAUUGAUACACAGCUGAUUGGACUUGUUCAUGUUAUUCUCUUGAGUGGCAAAUACAGUUCUAUGUUUCAGAAUUCACAAUGUAGAAAGAAACGCACGGCAACCAUCCUUUCCCCCAUCUUUGUUCCCUGUCAUCCACUUCCCUGCCUCUCAAGCAGUCAGUGUCACCAGUCUCUUGUGUAUCCUCCCAGAGACACAGUUUCCUCCUUGUUUUAAACACAAGUAGCAAAUCGCAAACGGUUUUCCCUUCCUUUUUUCCUUUAUUGGUAUAUUUUGGUGAUCAUUCCAUAUGUGUGUGUUAGGAGCUUCUCCAGCCCUCCUUAUGCUUUCAUCAUGUCCCACUGUGUGGACAUAACCAUGGAACGUAACCAGCUCCCUGUAGACGGGUAUGUUUUCUAUCUGUGGUUUACAGACGUCGUUACAGUGAAUUAAAUGACUGGUAUUUUAAAUUAUUCUUUUAUCUAUCAAGGGCAGCAAUGCUUUUAAGGACUGUUUCUAGGUGGUUACUUUGUUUAACCGGUUCCGGUUUCUCCAUGUACUUGAACAUAAAGGGACUAUUCAUUUUAAAUGAGUGUGUAAGAGAGAUUUUUUUUUUCCUUGUAUAUUUGAACUAGCUGCCUUCCACAGACAAUACCUGUGUCUCAACUCUUGCUCUUUUAUGAACAAUGUACCAUUCAUUUGCUCAACAAGUAUUUAUUUAGUACCUGUAUGUGCCAGAUACAUUCUGGGUGCUUGGGAUACCUCAGUGAACAGACCAAACGAAACAUCUGCCUUUUGGAAGCCUUUGUGUUGGCCAGGGGGGAAACACAAUGAAUGUAAUGUAUAAAUGAAUCAUUUACAGUAUAUUAAAGAUGCGGAUGCUAUUGUUGGGGCAAGGGGACCAAGGAGGGGGAAGAUCCAGGGUGAAAGAUGGAAGUUUCAGUUUUAAAUAGGGUGAUCAGGGUAGACAUCACUGAGGAGACAUUUGACAAGAGACUUGCAGGGAGUGAGCAAGUGAGCCAUGUGGAUAUCUGGGGAAGAGCGUUCUGGAAAGGGAGCUGCCAGUGCAGAGGCCCUAAGGAACAACACAGAGGUGAGUGAGUAGGGUUGUGGCUGAGGGAGGCAGUGGGAGGGAGGCUGAGGUCAGGUCAGGUAGGACCCUGCAGUCAGCUUUCAGAACUGGCUUUUAAUUGGGUGAGAUGGGAGUCAUGGGAGGGUGUGGAACGGAAGAGGGACAUACCGGAACUUCCUCAAGGAUCUCAGACUGUGGGGGAGGUCAGUUAGGAAGUUGCUGCAGUAGUCUUGAUGAGAGCUACUGGGGGUCCAACAGGGCAGCUGCAGUAGAGACAGUGGAAGUGGUCAGAUUCUACCCGUAUUUUGAAGGGUAAGGCCAAGAAAUGACCCUAACAGAUUUGAAUGUGGGAGUCUGAGAAAGAAAAGCAAGGAUGACUGUGGAGUUCGGGCUUGAAGAACUGGAAGGACGGAGUCACCUCGGGAAGGGCUGGAGCCCCGUUUCUGGCACAGAAGUCUGAGGUGCCUCCUCGAGGCCAGGUAGAGAUGUUGAGCGAGCAGGUGGCUGUGCGAGCCUGGGAGUCAGCAGAGAGGUGAGGGCAGAGAGGCGCAUGCGGCAGUGGUCGGGGUAGAAAAAUGGCGUUGGAAACUGUGAGGCACUGCAGUCACCCGGGGGUGUGGGGGGCUCACCAGAGCUUACACGCUGUGGCCUUCGCAGGCUCGGGGAGCUCCUGACAGACUCUUCUGCUCCCACCUUUUUCAAGUAAAUCUCAGUGAGUUUGGUACUUUACCUUUAUCUACUCCUAUCCCUUCCUGUCUCAAGGCUGCCUGUCCCUGAAGGAGGCAAGAAAGUGGCAUUUCCAGCUCUACUUGGGAGAAGAGAAGCUGUUGUCCCAUGACUCGGGACCCACAUCCUGGCCUUGUGAGACAAGUGAGCCGAACGGAGGGAGCCUAGUGCCCUCCAGCAGAGGUCCCAGGGCUGGCUUUUCUGCGCCCCUGACUGUCCCUCCCAUCCUUAUUAUCUCAGGAAACACUUAAGGCAUGGUUGAAGUGAACUUGCAGCCACUUUUAAGACAGGGCGUUUCCGGUAGAGAAAGGACAGCAGGGAAGUAGGGGGUGAGUUACUGAACCAAGCUAUUAACUUCAGAAAGAUUGGGCGCCAAAUAUCCCAGGCAGGUCUGGUCAUGGUCACACUUUGGGUCUGGCAUGAGCUAGGUUGUCCUGGGGGCAGGCACUCCCUUUCAAGAGACCCUCCAGAAGGUCUACAACGGCUCUAGGUCACUUUGUAGUCCCACUGGAUCGGGUGUGGGAGAGGGAAAGCACAGGGACCCUGGAUGGAACUGGGUUUUGGGGGAGAGCAGAAUUGGUGGGGCAGGGAGGGGUGGGCAGCGGAACCUAGAAGUAAGCCAGUUUCUUCAGGCUCACUGAGCCUAAGACUGGAGUCCCUGUCCUCAGCCUGCUGUGCCUUGUGAGGGAACCUGCUGUUCAUGUCAUCCAGUCACAGCGUCCUCUGCCCUGCUGUCUUUUGACAACAAUCUCCUGGUUGAGGUCAGGUCCUCUUUUGUCUCAAUUACAGAACCGGAAUCUCAGUGACAGGAGCCUUGGCCCGUCACCAGGGGGCGCAGCCCAACCGGCUUCUUCUGGUCACUUCUAGUCCCUCAGGCCUGAGCUUCUAGGUCAAGUCCUCAGUGUGAUUUUUCUCCCCAUUCCCCUGCAGCUUGUGCUCAUUUUAAAGAACUUGGAAAAUAGAAGAGAGCAUAAAUAAGGAAAGGAGACUCAAUCACCCAUAUUCCCAGAACCGGUUUAUAAUGUUUCAACCUACUUUCAAUAUGUCUACACAUAUUAUGAUUAAAAAAUGUUUUAAUUGAAAUCAUGUUGAAUAUAUUGUAAACCUAUAAACUUUUCUCCCAAAUCACUUUCCUCAAAGCAAACAGUGAAAGAGCUGACCCACAGGUCACAGAUGGGGAUUAUCGUUGACGUUCCCGUGUUGGCGCCUGCGUGUUGUCUUUGCCUUGGCAGGAACCCUCAGGGCUCAAGAAAUGUUUGGCCUCUGCUGCAGUGUGAUCGUUGGUACCUGUUGCAGGUACCAGAUUUUUGAGAAUCUGGAGGAAAGUGAUUUGAUUUGCAUUCAGUUUGGUCCAGGAGAUGCCCUGUGCACAUGAUUUGUUCUGGCCCUGCAGAUGUCCUGCAAAGCAUCUCGGGUCACUUCUCUUUCUUUAUCUCCACACAGGCCGGGUUUCCUCCUUGAGCAUCCAGAUGUUUGCCUCUGACUCCCUGCCCCUGCCAGGCCUCUGUUCUAACUCAUGUCCUUGCCUUCUUGAGAGGUUCAGAGUUUUGUUUUCUGUGCUGCCCUGUGUCCAAGCUGUUGGUCUCCUCUUCCUUUGCUAGCCGGCCCCUGCCUGGGCCUCAUUUCUCCAGGGCAGAGAUAGGUACACUAGAAAGAAAGUGGUCCCUGGGCUUCUAAUUUCUUGACGAAAGGGAUGCUAAUAGUAGUUCUUAUUAUGGGCAUGAUCUCUUUCCUUAUGCCAUUGGUAUUUUGCUUUAUUUCGGCUUUUGCUCAAAGGAUGAUUCUGGAGCCGAGAAGGAGAACACCUCUGUCCUGCAGCAGAACCCCUCCUUGUCGGGCAGCCGGAAUGGGGAGGAGAACGUCAUCGAUAACCCCUAUCUGCGGCCUGUGAAGAAACCCAAGAUUCGCAGGAAGAAGUCGCUCUCGUGAGCUGAGAAGGAAGCCUGCCUUGUACAGAGACGCGGACACCACUCUCCUGGGGCAGUUAAAGCCACUGGAGGGAAGAAGAGAGGGUGGCCUCCUCAAGGUCAAGCCAAGGCAGCCGGUGUGACUGGGCAUGAUUUUAAUAGCAAACUCAAAUAUUAAGACCACCUAUUUUCACUGGAUAUUUGGGUGGAGGAAGACAUGAUGGUAAUGAUCAGACUUUCUGAAUCCACCUGAGUGACUUCAGUUAUUGUCACAGAACUUGAUUCCUUUGAAUCCUGGAAGACCAGGCAUGCGCAGAUAAGUCACACACACAGGAGUUAGAGUGAUGCAUAAGGGUAGCCCUCUCUCCUGGGAGAUUGAUCACUGGCUGUCCUUCUGUGGGAUGUGUGCUUGGGGACUACCCACUAAGUCCCGCUCCAUCCUGGGAAAAGAGGUUUUCUCUGACAAGAGCCCUAAUCAGUGGAUAUAUUAUUUUGUGACUUGUAGAGGAAUCACCGAUUGUAAACAACAGGAAAAGGAUUUGAUGGCGGGGUUGGCGGGGGGUAGAAUUUGAGGGAUGGACCUGGCCGGUCUGCUGGAAGGCUAGCGUGGACCGAAGGCUGUGGUCCCACCUUAUGGCAGAAGUGGGCUGAGAGGAGCCUGCAGGCCAAGCCAGGGUAUUCUUCCAGAAGCAGGUCUGAAUCUGAUCAACCUCUUUUCUUUCUGGGGAGAGAGGACUUUGUCCUUGAUGUACCCUACAAACCAAAACAAAAAAAGCAAGUGUUAAGGAAGAUACUGGGCAAGCUGAUACCCUUUGGCUGGUCUCCAAAGGAAGAGAUUUAAAAACCCAAGUCCAAAGAAGAAAAAUGCCAGCAACACCUGGAAGUUAACACAGGAUAAACAAGUUGUUCCUUGGGUUAGUGUCCUAAGGUCCGUAUCGAACUUUCCCGAUGCUCUACUUCCAGAGUCAUCUCUUCAUCUUCCAUGCUCUAGAUGAAUUUGAAAACUUGAAGAACUUGAAGGCAGGUUCCACGUUCCUCCGGCCUCACUCUUGCCCUAGGGCCCUCCAUCCCGUUGCCUGGAGGCAAAGGAGCUGCUUGUCAGUCACUGAAGAUGGCAUGCCAGGGAGAUAUUUGAGUUCCCCCACUCCGGACCAAAUAAGCAUUCAGGUUUGCAGUGGCCUGAAACUCUUCGACUGGACAGCAGUCAGAGCGGGCCUUUGCUGAGUUUGUGAUUCGGCUCGUGGCAAUUCUUGGCCGGUUGAGUUUACAGGCCCAGGUUUGAGCUCUGGCAGGUGCAGGGCUGAGACCUUGCUGGCUUGCUGUUCGCUCUUGGGGCAGCCACCCCUGUCAGCAUUUCUGCACUUCCUCUUUUGCCAUUACUGUCCAAAACCAGCACCUGCCCCAUGCCACAAAUCUGAGGGAAGAGGAGGCGGGUUUGGGAAAGAGUUGCUACUUCUGCUGUUGAGAUUGGAGGCCCUAAUUCUGGAUGCGAGGCCCUGAGAAAUGAUGAGACAGCUUGAAACACUGACCCGACUAUUGAUGUGUAAAAACUGUGUAUAAUUCUCAAUGUAUAUUUAUAAAUUUCUAUUUUUUAUAACUUUGGGAGACUUCUUGGAGGGAAAACGUAGUAAACAGAGCCAGAUUAAGGACGUGAUUUAUGAGCUCUUAAUCAAAGGUCAUAAUAAAAGCUUUGCAAAUGAAACAGAAUGA